rnacentral:rRNA from 1 species
CUUGGGUGGCGCAGCUAACGCAUUAAGUUAUCCGCCUGGGGAGUACGGUCGCAAGAUUAAAACUCAAAGGAAUUGACGGGGGCCUGCACAAGCGGUGGAGCAUGUGGUUUAAUUCGAAGCAACGCGCAGAACCUUACCAGCCUUUGACAUCCUAGGACGGUUUCUGGAGACAGACUCCUUCCCUUCGGGGACCUAGUGACAGGUGCUGCAUGGCUGUCGUCAGCUCGUGUCGUGAGACGUUGGGUUAAGUCCCGCAACGAGCGCAACCCUCGUCCUUAGUUGCCAUCAUUUAGUUGGGCACUUUAAGGAAACUGCCGGUGAUAAGCCGGAGGAAGGUGGGGAUGACGUCAAGUCCUCAUGGCCCUUACAGGCUGGGCUACACACGUGCUACAAUGGCAUCUACAGUGAGCAGCGAUCCCGCGAGGGUUAGCUAAUCUCCAAAAGAUGUCUCAGUUCGGAUUGUUCUCUGCAACUCGAGAGCAUGAAGGCGGAAUCGCUAGUAAUCGCGGAUCAGCAUGCCGCGGUGAAUACGUUCCCAGGCCUUGUACACACCGCCCGUCACACCAUGGGAGUUGGAUUCACCCGAAGGCGGUGCGCUAACCUUUAGGAGGCA